AUUGAACGCUGGCGGCAGGCCUAACACAUGCAAGUCGAGCGGAUGAAGGGAGCUUGCUCCUGGAUUCAGCGGCGGACGGGUGAGUAAUGCCUAGGAAUCUGCCUGGUAGUGGGGGAUAACGUCCGGAAACGGGCGCUAAUACCGCAUACGUCCUGCGGGAGAAAGUGGGGGAUCUUCGGACCUCACGCUAUCAGAUGAGCCUAGGUCGGAUUAGCUAGUUGGUGGGGUAAAGGCCUACCAAGGCGACGAUCCGUAACUGGUCUGAGAGGAUGAUCAGUCACACUGGAACUGAGACACGGCCCAGACUCCUACGGGAGGCAGCAGUGGGGAAUAUUGGACAAUGGGCGAAAGCCUGAUCCAGCCAUGCCGCGUGUGUGAAGAAGGUCUUCGGAUUGUAAAGCACUUUAAGUUGGGAGGAAGGGCAGUAAGUUAAUACCUUGCUGUUUUGACGUUACCAACAGAAUAAGCACCGGCUAACUUCGU
rnacentral:rRNA from 1 species